UAAACGACUCUCGGCAACGGAUAUCUCGGCUCUUUUGCAGAAUCCCGUGAACCAUCGAGUCUUUGAACGCAAGUUGCGCCUGAAGCCAUUAGGUUGAAGGCACGUCUGCCUGGGCGUCACGC
rnacentral:rRNA from 1 species